UUUCUGUUUCCUUUUUGUCUCGAGCUCUUGCCAUUUUCAGAGCGAUGGCAGCAGCAGACUUAUCAAGAACCAGAGAACCAGCCAGAACUACCAAAGGCUUGUUUCUCAUCUUCUCUCUGCUGUGUCUUGCUUAUGUCACAAGUUCGCUGAAGACCGAGGAUCAACUGGAAAAAAUGAAAACUGCAUUAGAAGAGGCUGAAAGACAGAAGGCAGAAGAGAAGUACAGAAAUGCAACCAUCACAAAACUAUUUGAUCUUGCAAGUUCACUAACUAACAAGGAGC